rnacentral:siRNA from 1 species
GAUUGUCGGAACCAUGCGAGUGGG